rnacentral:rRNA from 1 species
AGGACGAACGCUGGCGGCGUGCUUAACACAUGCAAGUCGAACGGUAAGGCCUUCGGGUACACGAGUGGCGAACGGGUGAGUAACACGUGGGUGAUCUGCCCUGCACUUUGGGAUAAGCCUGGGAAACUGGGUCUAAUACCGAAUAUGACCAUUGGUUGCAUGACUGGUGGUGGAAAGCUUUUGCGGUGUGGGAUGGGCCCGCGGCCUAUCAGCUUGUUGGUGGGGUGAUGGCCUACCAAGGCGACGACGGGUAGCCGGCCUGAGAGGGUGUCCGGCCACACUGGGACUGAGAUACGGCCCAGACUCCUACGGGAGGCAGCAGUGGGGAAUAUUGCACAAUGGGCGCAAGCCUGAUGCAGCGACGCCGCGUGAGGGACGACGGCCUUCGGGUUGUAAACUGCUUUUAUUUGUGACGAUUAUGACGGUAGCAGAUGAAUAGGAUCGGCUAACUCCGCGCCGAGCAGCCGCGUAA